rnacentral:lncRNA from 1 species
AAAAAUUCUCAAGAAAACUUAGUCAAAUUCACAAAAGAUUCAAAGUUAGAACACUUUCAUUAGAUACAUGAGUAAAAAGUAUAUCUUAUGAUCUGAGAAGACACAUUAAACCAUGUUACUUGAUAUUCUUGAAGUUAAAUAAACAUAUCUUAAAGUUACUUAACAAAUUUACAAAAACUAACGUAGAUUAGCUAAAACUUUACUAAGCAUGAAUGUUGGUAACCUCAUAAAUAUCACCAAUUAGGUUAUAAAUUUCAUUCAGUAGCCCCAAUAUUGACUAAUAUACAUGAAUUAACAAAAAAAAAAUUAAAAAAAUCUUUAUAGUUUUAGAGAAAAUGAAAGUUUAUUAAACAUUAACGCAUACGAUUUCCACGGAGGUCGUCUGGUAGACUUCUAGGAAGUCUUCCAUUUAGGUUAGUUUUGCAAUUGAUUUUUAACCUAGACGACUUACAUGGAAGUCGUCCAU